rnacentral:rRNA from 1 species
GAACGUGAAGCCACCUUCGGGUGGUGGAAAGUGGCAGACGGGUGAGUAACGCGUGGGAACGUGCCUUUCGGUUCGGGAUAACCCAGGGAAACUUGGGCUAAUACCGGAUACGCCCUUCGGGGGAAAGAUUCAUCGCCGAAAGAUCGGCCCGCGUCGGAUUAGCUUGUUGGUGGGGUAACGGCCUACCAAGGCGACGAUCCGUAGCUGGUCUGAGAGGAUGACCAGCCACACUGGGACUGAGACACGGCCCAGACUCCUACGGGAGGCAGCAGUGGGGAAUAUUGGACAAUGGGCGCAAGCCUGAUCCAGCCAUGCCGCGUGGGUGAAGAAGGCCCUAGGGUUGUAAACCCCUUUCAGCGGGGAAGAUAAUGACGGUACCCGCAGAAGAAGCCCCGGCUAACUCCGUG